UACGUAGGUGGCGAGCGUUGUCCGGAUUUACUGGGCGUAAAGAGCGCGCAGGCGGUCGUUCAAGUCGCGUGUGAAAGCCCCCGGCUCAACCGGGGAGGGUCACGCGAUACUGAUCGACUCGAAGGCAGGAGAGGGAAGUGGAAUUCCCGGUGUAGUGGUGAAAUGCGUAGAUAUCGGGAGGAACACCAGUGGCGAAGGCGACUUCCUGGCCUGUUCUUGACGCUGAGGCGCGAAAGCUAGGGUAGCAAACGGG
rnacentral:rRNA from 1 species